GACGAACGCUGGCGGCGUGCCUAAUACAUGCAAGUCGAACGAGUGGCGGACGGGUGAGUAAUGCUUGGGAAUCUGGCUUAUGGAGGGGGAUAACUACGGGAAACUGUAGCUAAUACCGCGUACCAUAGGAUGAGCCCAAGUGGGAUGAGGUAGUUGGUGAGGUAAAGGCGCACCAAGCCGACGAUCUCUAGCUGGUCUGAGAGGAUGACCAGCCACACGGGGACUGAGACACGGCCCAGACUCCUACGGGAGGCGGCAGUGGGGAAUAUUGCGCAAUGGGGGCAACCUGACGAAGCCAUGCCGCGUGAAUGAAGAAGGCCUUCGGGUUGUAAAGUUCUUUCAGUAGAGAGGCGUUAACUACAGAAGAAGCACCGGCUAACUCCGUGCCAGCAGCCGCGGUAAUAC
rnacentral:rRNA from 1 species